rnacentral:rRNA from 1 species
AUACGUCAGUGGCGAACGGGUGAGUAAUGAAUCGCUAACGUACCCCGGACUCUGGGAUAGCCAGCCGAAAGGCUGGGUAAUACCAGAUGAUAUAUUCCUGUCGCCUGGCAGGAAUCUCAAAGGUCCGCCGGUCUGGGAGCGGGCGAUUUCGUAUCAGCUAGUUGGUGAGGUAACGGCUCACCAAGGCGACGACGCGUAGCCGGACUGAGAGGUUGGCCGGCCACAUUGGGACUGAGACACUGCCCAGACUCCUACGGGGGGCUGCAGUAACGAAUCUUCCGCAAUGCACGAAAGUGUGACGGAGCGACGCCGCGUGUAGGACGAAGUCCUUCGGGAUGUAAACUACUGUCAGGGGUUAGAAAGUUCUGAUCAACCCCAGAGGAAGAGGCGGCUAACUCUGUGCCAGCAGCCGCGGUAAUACAGAGGCCUCAAGCGUUAGGCGGAAUCACUGGGCUUAAAACGUGUGUAGGCGGAUCCGUAAGUACCUUGUGAAAUCCCACCGCUCAACGGUGGAACUGCUCGGUAUACUGCGGGUCUUGAGCCACUUAGGGGUCAGCGGAACAAAUGGUGGAGCGGUGAAAUGCGUAGAUAUCAUUUGGAACGCCAAUGGUGAAAACAGCUGACUGGGAGUGUGCUGACGCUGAGACACGAAAGCCAGGGGAGCAAACGGGAUUAGAUACCCCGGUAGUCCUGGCCGUAAACGAUGUCGACUAGAUCGUAGUACCUCUGACGGUAUUACGGUCGAAGCAAAAGUGCUAAGUCGACCGCCUGGGAAGUACGGUCGCAAGGCUAAAACUCAAAGGAAUUGACGGGGGCUCACACAAGCGGUGGAGCAUGUGGUUCAAUUCGAAGCAACGCGCAGAACCUUACCUGGGCUUGACAUGCCAGGAUUAUCCCUAUGAAAGUAGGGUACGCCCUUCGGGGUGGAACUGGUACAGGUGCUGCAUGGCUGUCGUCAGCUCGUGUCGUGAGAUGUCGGG